GAUGAACGCUGGCGGUGUGCCUAAUACAUGCAAGUCGAGCGAACGGACGAGAAGCUUGCUUCUCUGAUGUUAGCGGCGGACGUGUGAGUAACACGUGGAUAACCUACCUAUAAGACUGGGAUAACUUCGGGAAACCGGAGCUAAUACCGGAUAAUAUUUUGAACCGCAUGGUUCAAAAGUGAAAGACGGUCUUGCUGUCACUUAUAGAUGGAUCCGCGCUGCAUUAGCUAGUUGGUAAGGUAACGGCUUACCAAGGCAACGAUGCAUAGCCGACCUGAGAGGGUGAUCGGCCACACUGGAACUGAGACACGGUCCAGACUCCUACGGGAGGCAGCAGUAGGGAAUCUUCCGCAAUGGGCGAAAGCCUGACGGAGCAACGCCGCGUGAGUGAUGAAGGUCUUCGGAUCGUAAAACUCUGUUAUUAGGGAAGAACAUAUGUGUAAGUAACUGUGCACAUCUUGACGGUACCUAAUCAGAAAGCCACGGCUAACUACGUG
rnacentral:rRNA from 1 species